rnacentral:rRNA from 1 species
UACGUAGGGUGCAAGCGUUGUCCGGAAUUAUUGGGCGUAAAGAGCUCGUAGGCGGUCUGUCGCGUCGAAUGUGAAAACCCGGGGCUCAACCCCGGGCCUGCAUUCGAUACGGGCAGACUAGAGUUCGGUAGGGGAGUCUGGAAUUCCUGGUGUAGCGGUGAAAUGCGCAGAUAUCAGGAGGAACUCCGGUGGCGAAGGCGGGACUCUGGGCCGAUACUGACGCUGAGGAGCGAAAGCGUGGGGAGCAAACAGG